CCCAGACUUUCUGUGGCUAUCCAAUCACAGACUUCCCAAUGUAGCUCAAUGAGAAGUUUUUGAAAGGCAGGUGCUCUGGGUUACUGCUGCCUCUUGAGUUUAGCUCAACUGAGCUAACCAAACCAGGAAGUAACAGGAUCAGGUUUCUGCUUAACAGCCAGGGGGGUGGGUGUGUUGUAGAAAAAGAUGACACUUCACACGUAAGGCACUUGAACAAGCUAAAGUGCGUUAGGUGUGUGGAUUGUCUAAGUGUAGAGAGCGCUACUAAAAAACACUGCACAUUUAGAUUACAAGCUUUCAAGACAAAUUAGCCAAUUGCCAACACUACUUUUAGUACCUUUCCCAUGAAUGUUUGAUGCCAUUAAUUUAUGCUAGUCAACACUUUUCACUUAAUUGUGAUUUUUGUUUCUGUUCUAUAAAGCAGUUUACAUUUUUUCUAUUUAUACAACAUUUAGC